GAGAGAUGGUCGAGUGGUUUAAGGCAGCGGUCUUGAAAACCGCCGCGGCGCAAGCCGCCGAGGGUUCGAAUCCCUCUCUCUCC
rnacentral:tRNA from 1 species